rnacentral:snRNA from 2 species
GGAUGUGAGGGUGAUCCGGCUACCACAUCUGUCACUCCAUUGAUCCCCAGGGUUAAUUUGGUUGAUCUGGCUGGCUAGGCGGCGUCCCCUUCCUCCUCUGCCACUCUGUGUGCAUCUGCUUGCCAAGUUGCACAUUCAAAGAGGAUGACCUUCCCUGAUAGAGGAGGACCGUUCUUCCAUAAAGGGUAUACAAGUAGCUGUGCACCCCUGCUAGAACUAGAAUCUUCAGACAAGCUUUCAAAAUCCAUUUGUAGGAGAAUGUAGGGUAGUCGAGGUUCCAAGACUCCACAGACACAUCCAAAUAAGGUGCUGCAUGAAGCAGUCUGCCUUUCUUU